rnacentral:rRNA from 6 species
AAAUUGAAGAGUUUGAUCAUGGCUCAGAUUGAACGCUGGCGGCAGGCCUAACACAUGCAAGUCGAACGGUAACAGGAAGCAGCUUGCUGCUUUGCUGACGAGUGGCGGACGGGUGAGUAAUGUCUGGGAAACUGCCUGAUGGAGGGGGAUAACUACUGGAAACGGUGGCUAAUACCGCAUAAUGUCGCAAGACCAAAGAGGGGGACCUUCGGGCCUCUUGCCAUCAGAUGUGCCCAGAUGGGAUUAGCUUGUUGGUGAGGUAACGGCUCACCAAGGCGACGAUCCCUAGCUGGUCUGAGAGGAUGACCAGCCACACUGGAACUGAGACACGGUCCAGACUCCUACGGGAGGCAGCAGUGGGGAAUAUUGCACAAUGGGCGCAAGCCUGAUGCAGCCAUGCCGCGUGUAUGAAGAAGGCCUUCGGGUUGUAAAGUACUUUCAGCGGGGAGGAAGGUGUUG